UUUAUUGCUGAUUUUUCUUAUUUUUUUGAGGUAGGCUGGUAGUGCUAUGAACUUCCCUCUCAGGAUUGCUUUCAGUGUGUCCCAUAGAUUUAGGAUUGUCGUAUUUUCAUUGUUAUUUAUUUCCUUGAUGUU